AGGUGUGCCUUCCGGGUCUUCAUCCCCAUUCUCAUUCCCAUCCCCAUCCCCAUCCGAGCAUGCUCUGGAUUGCCCCAAUAAACUGUCAUCAAGUUAAUUGCCCCAAAUGUCCGUAUAAACAAGGGCGUGUGUGUCUGUUAUGUUCCCCCGAUCUCAAGCGGGAGGGAUGGACAUCGAAUCAAAUUGAAUUAAAUCGCGGGAAUCAUCACCAUUCCGUUCUUCACGGCAUUCCAUUCGCGGCACACGCACACACAAAAGCCGACAAAUUGCCAUUGGACGGGACUGUCCAAAAUGUAUAUCCAUUAUGUAAGUCAAAUAUUGUGUGUUAAAUGCUUAACACGCCUAUUGGAAAUACUACGCUCCACAAGGUGUCCACCCAAUCCGAUACGAUCCAAACCAAGACAAACCAAACCAAAGCAGAGCAUGGCGAAAAAGCAUAAUCAAAUGUGUGGCAACAACGCUUAAGAGACAGUUUAGUCAACUCCCAGCUUUUCCUUCUUUUGGCAUAUCAUUUUGUUUACUCGGCAAUUUCCGCAAAAGUUUCUUUGGUGUUUACAUUUCGGUUUUUAUGAAUGAUUUCAAAAUUAGAUAUGCUACGUUGAACCACUAGUUUCGGGGGAACCACCGAAAAUUAAGACCCUGUACUAUGUCUGUCCUAUAUGUAUCUUUCAUUCUGCAUUUUAUUGUGAUUCAUCUUACAAGACGUAUACAUACAUAUGUACAUAUAUGUACAUACAUAUAUUUAUUCUAUGGUCCAUAUCUAAUCUAAAGUUUCCUUUCACUUCAUUUGGUCAAGCAAACAGCUCUCUGAAUCAGAGUCUGAGAUGGAAAUGUUAAUUUCACAGUGAUUCAUGCGGUGUGGUCUCUGUUCUGAGCGAUUCUUGGUGAAUAUAAUCCACACCAUAUAUGUACAUUUAUUUAUUCGGAUUUAUAUAGGUACAUAUGUAUGUAUGUACGAGUAUGCACAGACUUUCGCUUUCAAUUUCUUUUGU